UACGGAGGGUGCGAGCGUUAAUCGGAAUUACUGGGCGUAAAGCGCGCGUAGGCGGUUGGCUAAGUCUGAUGUGAAAGCCCUGGGCUUAACCUGGGAACGGCAUUGGAAACUGGCUAGCUAGAGUGUGGUAGAGGGGUGUGGAAUUUCCGGUGUAGCAGUGAAAUGCGUAGAGAUCGGAAGGAACACCAGUGGCGAAGGCGGCACCCUGGACCGGCACUGACGCUGAGGUGCGAAAGCGUGGGGAGCAAACAGG
rnacentral:rRNA from 1 species